UAAUACGAAGGGUGCAAGCGUUACUCGGAAUUACUGGGCGUAAAGGGUGCGUAGGUGGUUUGUUAAGUCUGCCGUGAAAUCCCCGGGCUCAACCUGGGAAUGGCGGUGGAUACUGGCAAGCUGGAGUGCGGUAGAGGGUAGUGGAAUUCCCGGUGUAGCAGUGAAAUGCGUAGAGAUCGGGAGGAACACCAGUGGCGAAGGCGGCUACCUGGACCAGCACUGACACUGAGGCACGAAAGCGUGGGGAGCAAACAGG
rnacentral:rRNA from 1 species